CCCUUAGAUGUUCUGGGCCGCACGCGCGCUACACUGAUCAGUGCAACAAGCAUCCGUCCUUGGCCGACAGGCCCGGGCAAUCUUUGAACGCUGAUCGUGAUGGGGAUAGACUUUUGCAAUUUUUGGUCUUCAACGAGGAAUUCCUAGUAAACGCAAGUCAUCAACUUGCAUUGAUUACGUCCCUGCCCUUUGUACACACCGCCCGUCGCACCUACCGAUUGAAUGGUCCGGUGAAAUCCUCGGAUCGAGCCGUGGGGCAACUCCGGUUCGAGAAGUUGAUUAAACCUUACCAUUUAGAGGAAGGUGAAGUCGUAACA
rnacentral:rRNA from 1 species